GGGGAUUUAGCUCACUGGUAGAGCGCUUGCCUAGCAAGCACAAGGCCCUGGGUUCGGUCCCCAGCUCUG
rfam:Rattus norvegicus chromosome 18, whole genome shotgun sequence.